GACGAACGCUGGCGGCGUGCUUAACACAUGCAAGUCGAACGGAAAGGCCCUGCUUUUGUGGGGUGCUCGAGUGGCGAACGGGUGAGUAACACGUGAGUAACCUGCCCUUGACUUUGGGAUAACUUCAGGAAACUGGGGCUAAUACCGGAUAGGAGCUCCUGCUGCAUGGUGGGGGUUGGAAAGUUUCGGCGGUUGGGGAUGGACUCGCGGCCUAUCAGCUUGUUGGUGGGGUAGUGGCUUACCAAGGUUUUGACGGGUAGCCGGCCUGAGAGGGUGACCGGCCACAUUGGGACUGAGAUGCGGCCCAGACUCCUACGGGAGGCAGCAGUGGGGAAUAUUGCACAAUGGGCGGAAGCCUGAUGCAGCAACGCCGCGUGCGGGGUGACGGCCUUCGGGUUGUAAACCGCUUUCGCCUGUAACGAGGCGUGAGUGACGGUAAUGGGUAAAGAAGCACCGGCUAACUACGUG
rnacentral:rRNA from 1 species